rnacentral:misc_RNA from 1 species
GUUGCGUCACGGGUCAACUUAAACACGACUUAUGAGUGACAAUAUACUCGAUGUCGAAGGCAUUGUAACCCAACAAGUGGGGAGUUCGAUUUGGUUGGGACAAAUCGAACGAUCUGCGGUAGCAUCGAUAAUGGCGUGGUGUGGUUGCAAGUUGAGCCAUGCCCGGAUGUUGUUGUUACUUUGUGAUGUUGAUGACAUUUGUCAAUUGCUGUGGUGAUGUCAGAUUGUUUGGGGGUCUUAGUUUAACUUUGAUCUAGUUUUACGCUUAACUGGUAUCUUCAUGAGGCCUACACUAUCGGUCUGAUUGUAUGGCAUGUUGUUGUUUGAUUCUUGCCUUACGAUCGGAUUGUUGGUGUAACCGAUGACAUGAUUUGGCUUGUUAAUCUUAAAACCGUGGUUGACAAUCUGACGUUGUUUCGUGCAUUGAUGAAUGUUGUUGAAUGGUGAUGCAAGGGUUUCUUGGUUUGAUGCGUUGUUGUGAUGACAUUCGUCUUGAGGUGAUGCGGUGUCAUGUUGUCUGUGUAUCUUGGUUUCUAGCUAUUGAGCUUAAAACAUGUGGAUUAUCGGUUAGUGACACGGCAUCGCUCCCUUGGUUGAUGAAAGUCGUCCAAUGAUGUGGUGGUUUGUUUGUUUUUGUUCUCGCAUCGCUCGGUGCAUUCUGUGGUCAUUUUAGCUGUUGGUGGCUUGCUUGGCAAUUGAGCUUGGUGGGUUGCUACUGGUUGGGUGUCUACGGGGAUGUCUACCGUAAAGGUGCNNNNNNNNNNNNNNNNNNNNNNNNNNNNNNNNNNNNNNUGCUUGCGCAACAACUUCUACCCGGCAUACCUCUUCAGUCUUGUGUCAAUGCUUGUAUUGCAUUGAAUGCACGGCGGGUUUCUUGUGUUGCAUGCCUAAUUAAUGGUAUCGUUUGAUGAAUUGGUUUUCCUUUCGUCUUGCGUCGCCUAUGUGAUGUGAGAUGAACCUUGAAGCAUCCUUUUUGAUCCACUCUUUUGAUGCAUACGCAUUGAUUUUGUGGCCCAUUGAGUGUUGCUUGGUCUCAUGGAUAUGGAACCUGGUGUGGGCAUGGAAUCGUAAUGGUUCCUUGUUUGCCCAAGUUUAGCUUWMCWAAACCAAUKKYCW